rnacentral:lncRNA from 1 species
UGACAAAGUCUAUAUUCCAACAAGCCUUGCAAACAUCGGCAGACAAAUUGUGGAAGGAAGAAUUCAACCAUAGAAACUACUUUUCUAAUAUAUAUCUAAUUUCUGUAGUUAAUAGGGACUUGGCCACAAAAACCAUCAGAAAACCAUAAACUACUUCCCUGUCACACCGCAUAUUUCGAAAUUAGCACCACCUAGAAUAAAAAACGUUCCCUACACAAAACAAAACAAGAAAAGCAUUAAACAAUAAGCCCCACCAUUAUUUUGCCUCUUAAAAAACACCACUAAUUUAAACCAAUCACCAAACCAAACAAACCAAAAACUCUUAAAAAAUCCCAUCCAUUUGCUAUUUUUUUCGUUUGUUUAAAAUUAAAUUAAAACCGAUCGAUCCCUUUUAUUUCCUAAUCUUGCAUUUCUCCAUCUCCAUUCUUCCCUUCAUUUCCCUCUUCUCUCCCGUCGCUUCUGUUCUUGAAUUCCUCGCCGGCGAGAGUUCGCCGGAGAACUGCUCCGGUGGCCCCUGCGUUUGCGCUCCAGGUUUUGCGGUUCGAAUUCUGGUGCGGUGGUUCGAGCUCGGGGGGUUUGAAUUGGAGCUGUCUGGGUUGUUCUUGAUCGCACUCGCGGGAAGAAGCAGAGGUGAUCUCUGAUGGUCGCGGGCCGAGGAGGGGAGAGAUAGGAGUUGUCAUGGAGCCCGCGACUGAGACCACGGCGGCCUCGCCGGCGGCGGCCGCGCAGAUGG